CUGAAAACGUUGGUACUUUCUACGGUGUACGUCCAAUGCAGUUAAGAAUAAUAUUUUUGCCGAUAAAAUUAGAAUUUAACCAGAAUUUUGUAACAGUAGAAUAAACAUUUCAACCUUUGACGUAUAAAACAUCUUAUACGUGUAAUAAAGAAGUGUCGUCAAAGAAUACAAAAAUAAUCGUGACGGAUCGAUUCGGAGUAAAAGUGAUACACGGAAUUAUACGUUAACCUUUAGUUGUACAUACCUGUAAGUGUAAUAAUCAAUGAUAACAAUGUUUAAGUUUUUGAUAACCUUGGGCAUUGGAGUUUAUGCUGGUAUGUACAUAAGCCAAAAUUAUGAGGUA